AAAGGUAAGGAUAAGGCGUUACAGUUAGGAUGUCAGUUAAGUGAGGGGAAGAUACUACCACCCCUUACCUCCCUUUUACUCAAUGGGAACCUUCUCUAAUUUUAAGGAUUAAAGGUUUGUUUGCUAAAAGAAUAAAAUAACAUAAAAGAGGGGGGAGGGGUGCAUUCUUAGUUAUAGGGGAAUACAGGGUGUGUGCAUAGUAAAGGGAACUUGGGCCCAACCCAAAGAAACCCUAAUAAAUCCAAAAAGAAAAAGGUAAAAUAAUAAUAAUAAAAAUA
rnacentral:lncRNA from 1 species